CAUGGACAGACUCGUGUUCAGCCUCUGUGUGGCGCCUCACCCUGUAGAAGGACACAGAUAUCGACCUGCUGCCAUCUUUAAUGACUUCUAAUACCUCGUGGGCUAUAGUAGAAGAGAGUAGAAUGAGGCCCCAUGAGUCUGCUGCGCCAAGAAAGUCCUGGAGAAGCAGAUUCAGACACGGCUGAACGAAGAUCACACUGAAGAUGGGCACAGCUGCUACAGCAGACCCUUGGAUCACUGAGAGGACAUGAUGUCGUCUAAUGCACUGAGUGCUGCUCUCCUACCAUGCAUGGCUGCAUUUGGAGCUGCAGCCAUGUCUUUAAUAGUGUGUGUAGUGGGAUGACUGGAGACAAACUGAACAUUUGGUGCUACAGCUAUGACUUGAAGGUGUGUGUAGUAGAGUGACUGGAUACACAUUGAGCUUUUGGAGCUGCAGUGAUGACUUGAUGGUGUGUGACGUGGGCUGACUGGAGACACAAUGCUCCAAGUAAGUCCUGAACUCAUAAGUAGCUGUUCUGUCAUGUGGGAUGAUGAUUUCAUAGACUAGAGUCUCUGAAUAAAGCAUGAAGAUGUCUUCACAGUGCACUGACCACAGAGAUCACAACAGUACUCUUGUAUGUUUUAACCCACUUAAUGCAGACUGUCUUCAGCAUGUAUUGCUGGAGAGCAUCAUCUUUUAUUCCACAUCAAUGAAACCAUCAUUCUAGCUGAUUAGUGCUUCCUCAUGUACAGUUGAAGGACAUGACUUAUUCCUCUACUAAUGUGAAGUCUAACUAUUAAAUGGGUUAAAACAUUCAAAGGCCUGUGUGUUUCUGGAACUGUAGUGUGUUGUCAUGUGGUGAUUAUUUAUCAUUUUGUCUUGUAGCUCCUCUGCACACUGACAGAAGCAGCCUCAGUUCCACAGCUGUGUAAGUAUGAAGUCAUCUGCAUGUUGAGCUCUAUUAGGAGUUAGAUGUGUAAUGGGACAGAACAAUGGAUUUAUGGAAUCAUUAGUCAGCGUUCCCACAUUCAUGAAAACCUGGAAAAGUCGUGGAACUUUUGUUUUUCUGUAAUGGAAUUAAUGUAAAGGUUGUAAAUGAUUACAGAAAUUAUAUUCUAGAUCCUUAAAUCCUGGAGAAGUUUUAACAUUUUAUCUGAAAUUGUGGCAACACUGGUUAGUGUAUAUUUGGGACAAAUGUAAUGCUGGUAGCAAUCGCCCAGCUACCUCCACAGAGGAAUAUAUCCCGUAAGAAUGAAGCUUUGAUGUCUGAGUGGUCGAUGAUGAUUCAUUUUUCGGUUCGACUGAUGUUAACUGAAGUUUACUCGCAGCGCACUGAGACACUCGGACUGUAAGAGCUUCUGUGGAAGAACUUUUAGAACUUUCAGAUUACUGAUGAACUCUGAAUUUUCUCUGUCAGGUGUGACUGUACCAGGCCAAGCUGGAUAACACUGACAAUGCAAUGAAUCACCAGGUUGGUAUUUUCAUGUGACAGUUGGCUGAAUGGAGUUUCCUCACAUAACUCCUGUUUGUUAGACUGAGUGACACUGAGAUGUUAACCUGAAGAUUCAAUGUCUCCUCACAGGUGCUGAGUCAGGACUACAAGCUUCAAACUCUACAAAGUCAUCCAGGAAAUGAAAGCUUUGUAACUUGGAGGCAGGAUUCAUUUUUAAUAUCAGCUUCUGAGAACAGACUCUUCAGUAUGUUGAAGUACCUGAGCUUUCAUGAACUGUUCUUGUUCUUGAAAGCUUUACCCUCCAUGAAAAUGUAUUUAUGUGAAUAAAUAAAUGGU